CUAUGUGUUGUUGGGUAGGGGAGCGUUCUGUAAGCCUGUGAAGGUGUGUCGUGAGGCAUGCUGGAGGUAUCAGAAGUGCGAAUGCUGACAUAAGUAACGAUAAAGCGGGUGAAAAGCCCGCUCGCCGGAAGACCAAGGGUUCCUGUCCAACGUUAAUCGGGGCAGGGUGAGUCGACCCCUAAGGCGAGGCCGAAAGGCGUAGUCGAUGGGAAACGGGUUAAUAUUCCCGUACUUGGUGUUACUGCGAAGGGGGGACGGAGAAGGCUAUGUUGGCCGGGCGACGGUUGUCCCGGUUUAAGCGUGUAGGUGUGUGUUCCAGGUAAAUCCGGUUCACUUUAACACUGAGGCGUGAUGACGAGGCACUACGGUGCUGAAGCAACAAAUGCCCUGCUUCCAGGAAAAGCCUCUAAGCAUCAGGUAACAUCAAAUCGUACCCCAAACCGACACAGGUGGUCAGGUAGAGAAUACCAAGGCGCUUGAGAGAACUCGGGUGAAGGAACUAGGCAAAAUGGUGCCGUAACUUCGGGAGAAGGCACGCUGACAC
rnacentral:rRNA from 1 species